rnacentral:rRNA from 1 species
AAGGUGCGGGCGUGCUAUACUGCAAGUCGAACGCACAGCGAAAGGUGCUUGCACCUUUCAAGUGAGUGGCGAACGGGUGAGUAACACGUGGACAACCUGCCUCAAGGCUGGGGAUAACAUUUGGAAACAGAUGCUAAUACCGAAUAAAACUUAGUGUCGCAUGACAAAAAGUUAAAAGGCGCUUCGGCGUCACCUAGAGAUGGAUCCGCGGUGCAUUAGUUAGUUGGUGGGGUAAAGGCCUACCAAGACAAUGAUGCAUAGCCGAGUUGAGAGACUGAUCGGCCACAUUGGGACUGAGACACGGCCCAAACUCCUACGGGAGGCUGCAGUAGGGAAUCUUCCACAAUGGGCGAAAGCCUGAUGGAGCAACGCCGCGUGUGUGAUGAAGGCUUUCGGGUCGUAAAGCACUGUUGUAUGGGAAGAACAGCUAGAAUAGGAAAUGAUUUUAGUUUGACGGUACCAUACCAGAAAGGGACGGCUAAAUACGUGCCAGCAGCCGCGGUAAUACGUAUGUCCCGAGCGUUAUCCGGAUUUAUUGGGCGUAAAGCGAGCGCAGACGGUUUAUUAAGUCUGAUGUGAAAGCCCGGAGCUCAACUCCGGAAUGGCAUUGGAAACUGGUUAACUUGAGUGCAGUAGAGGUAAGUGGAACUCCAUGUGUAGCGGUGGAAUGCGUAGAUAUAUGGAAGAACACCAGUGGCGAAGGCGGCUUACUGGACUGCAACUGACGUUGAGGCUCGAAAGUGUGGGUAGCAAACAGGAUUAGAUACCCUGGUAGUCCACACCGUAAACGAUGAACACUAGGUGUUUAGGAGGUUUCCGCCUCUUAGUGCCGAAGCUAACGCAUUAAGUGUUCCGCCUGGGGGAGUACGACCGCAAGGUUGAAACUCAAAGGAAUUGACGGGGACCCGCACAAGCGGUGGAGCCAGGUGGUUUAAUUCGAAGCAACGCGAAGAACCUUACCAGGUCUUGACAUCCUUUGAAGCUUUAAGAAGAUAGAAGUGUUCUCUUCGGAGACAAAGUGACAGGUGGGUGCAUGGUCGUCGUCAGCUCGUGUCGUGAGAAAGUUUGGGGUUAAGUCCCGGCAACGAGCGCAACCCUUU